UUCUGAUGUGGACUAAAAUUGAUUUGUGUAGUUAUCGCCCUGUGGUCUGUGGAAAAGUAAACAUCGAGACCAAAAUAAUCUCUCUACCUAUGGACGCAGGAGUAGUGAAAGGAGAUGCACCACCCCUGGCCUUUGGCACUGUGUGUCAGGUUGGGGCCAUAGCCUUACUCUUGGGAGUGGGCAAACCCUAUCAUCAGGCCCCGUGCGGAGGGAGUCAUCUCCUCCACCGCCCAGGACUCUUUACACACGGAAGAAUACCACCUUUUGGCAGAGGCAAGAGCACUUCAUGUUAGUGACGCUUCAUGUGAUGGAGGAUAAAGGGACAACACUCUUCUCUCCUGGCGUCCGGUAAUUUUCAUCAUUUUAGAAUAAAAGGAAGGUGCCGUCAAGACAAACGAGGAGUUAUUCUUAGUUUUGGCAAGUCCUAAAACAGUGAUACGGGGGCUGAAGAGUUCACGUGGAGUAGAAAGUUAUUGCCAAGUGCAGCAAAUAAUAGUAGAGACCCUCUCUGGAGGCUUUCAUAAACUUUUCAGCCUAGAUUGUGGGAGACUGAGGCCUGUAGACCCGUCUUCAAUCACAAAACCAUUCUAUUGAUUCUGGCUUAAGUGGCUCUACAGCUGAACACAGAAGGAAACAAAGGGAAGGCAAGGAAAAAGCUGCCAUGCCAUGAAGACACUCAAGCAGCCCUAUGAAAAGGUCCACUUGGGGAGGAACUGAGACCUCUUGCCAACAACCAUGUGAGUAACCCGUCUUGGAAGACGAUCCACCAACCCCAGUCAAGGCUUCAGAUGACUGUCACUCCAGCCAACAUCUUGACUACGACCUCAUGAGAGACUCUGUGCCAGAACCACCCAGCUAAGCUGCUCCUGAAUUCCUGACCCCCAGAAACUGAGAUAAUAAAUGUUUAUUAUUUUGAGCCACAAUAUUUUUGGGUAAUUUGUUGGAAGGCAAUAGAUAACUAAUACAGGCUCUCAUAAUGUCAUUUAUUUGGGUCCAGUCAGCAUGCUUUAGGAUCUGGGAGUUUUUUUCCUUCAUCCAUAAUCUAACAGCAAUAUAAGGAAUACAAGAAAAAGAAACUAAAGAGACUUCCCUGGAUUCUCCUGGUAUUGGUGGAUGUAACAUUUGACUCUUUACUUCUUCCCUGCUGAGUCUGAAGGGCUUUUGCUUGAAGUAAUUUGCCAUUUUGGAAGAGAAGCACUAUUUGGCUAGUGUGUGUUUUAGUGUCAGAAAGUCCCUUAGGAAAUGAAUAAACCCAGAGUCUCCAACUCACUUAAUAAAGCAUUGCAUUUAAUCCUGCAACAAUCCUGUGAUGUAGGCACACUUGCCUGAUUUUAAGGCUGAGGGAAUUGAAGUAUUAUGUGUCAGGGAUACACACAAAUGUGGGGGAAUAUGAAAGGUCUUGGAGGCUGUCUUCAUAAAUAUCCAGUUACUUCUGCGUCAUGGAAGAGAGGAAAAAAGAAAGGCAUUAAGAAG
rnacentral:lncRNA from 10 species